UCCUCAUGGCCCUUAUGGGUAGGGCUUCACACGUCAUACAAUGGUCGGUACAGAGGGUUGCCAACCCGCGAGGGGGAGCUAAUCCCACAAAGCCGAUCGUAGUCCGGAUCGCAGUCUGCAACUCGACUGCGUGAAGUCGGAAUCGCUAGUAAUCGCAGAUCAGCAUGCUGCGGUGAAUACGUUCCCGGGUCUU
rnacentral:rRNA from 1 species